GCAGCGACGCAGCGUGCGGGAUGACGGCCUUCGGGUUGUAAACCGCUUUCAGCAGGGAAGAAGCGCAAGUGACGGUACCUGCAGAAGAAGUACCGGCUAACUACGUGCCAGCAGCCGCGGUAAUACGUAGGGUACGAGCGUUGUCCGGAAUUAUUGGGCGUAAAGAGCUCGUAGGUGGUUGGUCACGUCUGCUGUGGAAACGCAACGCUUAACGUUGCGCGUGCAGUGGGUACGGGCUGACUAGAGUGCAGUAGGGGAGUCUGGAAUUCCUGGUGUAGCGGUGAAAUGCGCAGAUAUCAGGAGGAACACCGGUGGCGAAGGCGGGACUCUGGGCUGUAACUGACACUGAGGAGCGAAAGCAUGGGGAGCGAACAGGAUUAGAUACCCUGGUAGUCCAUGCCGUAAACGUUGGGCACUAGGUGUGGGGGGCAUUCCACGUUCUCCGCGCCGUAGCUAACGCAUUAAGUGCCCCGCCUGGG
rnacentral:rRNA from 1 species